CUAAAACAUGUCUUAAAUAAGUAAAAGAUCUCAUAAAAACCGAAUAAAAAAUGUCACAACUCGAUACAUAAGUUUCCAAAGCCAGGGUGUCACUGAGUACAUCAGAAUCUACACAAUACAAAUCUAAAACAUUGUCUAAGAAAUUGAAACUGAAUAAGUAAAACUAAGGGAUAGGGGAGGAGAGUCAAGGUCUCCGGACCCCAGGGCAACUACCUUGAUAAUCUCCAAAUGANNNNNNNNNNNNNNNNNNNNNNNNNCGAUAAACUCUAAGAAUCAACAACCACCAUGUCUAGAAAUACCUGGAUCUGCACAUGAAGUGCAGGGUGUAGCGUGAGUACAACCAACUCAGUAAAUAACAAGUCUAACUAUUAGGCUGAAAGUAGUGACGAGCUUCAUAUGUACAGUUCAAUUAUAGAAUUACAGUACAAAAAUGUAGACAUGCUUUCAAUUUAACAGUUAAAGCCCAAAUAGGUAAAUCAUGUCAAGUUUAAUUGAAACAAGAUAUGGUACAUCUUGGUAUCUACUUGUCAGUUAUAUAUGCCAACUAAAUUACAAAACAAUAAUGAAAUCACAUGCAUACUCUCAAAGUAUCAUUCACUCCAUCCUUACUCUCACUUCAUCCUCACAGUCACUCCUCCCUCACAAUCACUUAUUCUUUACAGUCCCUCCAUCCUCAAAGUUACUCAAUCCUCCCAAUCACUCAGCACUCGCGCACUCGCUCAAUAGGUACCUGCGCUCACUGUGGGUGUGCAGAUUUUUGGAGGGGCAAAUCCAGCCCAAGCACUAGAAUAAGCCAAUCAUGCCAUGAAUCAAUAAAACUUGCUGCAAUAUGCAGCUCGAUCCCAUAAAUUACCUCACAAUCAGGCCUCACUCAGUCAUCAAUCUCUGUAGUAUGUCGGGCUCACAAGAAUUAGGAUAAUCAACCCAAAUAAUGAUGAUAUGAUGCAAUAAAGGACAACAGAGACUGAGAUAUAAUAUGCAAUAAUAGAUGUGACUAAGUACAAAAUUGCAAAUUAAGCAAAUAAUUCAACAUGUAACAUGACCUCAGUGGGUCUCAACAAUACCAACGCGUAGCCUAAGCAUGACUUCUAACAUGACUGGCAACUCAAUUUGUCUAACACAUAGGUGGGAAUAUGGAUAACGACAAGAUUAUUCAACUAUACAGUUCCAUGGAAUCGACCAGAUCACAAUUCAUAUGGUGCACGCACACACGCCCGCCACUAGCAUGUGUGUCACCUCAACAUUAAUAAUAUAACACGUAAUUCGGGGUUUCAUACCCUCAGAACGAAGUUUAGAAGUGUUACUUACCUCAAACCUUGCAAAUCUCUACUCCAAUAAACCCUUGCCUCGCGAAUCAGCCUCCAAAUGCCUCGAAUCUAGCCACAAAUAAUUCCAUACAAUCAACACGGGCUAAAGGAAUCAAUUCCAUAAGAAAAUACUAAGUUCUUAAUCAAAAGUUAAAAAGUCAACUCAAAAGUCAACCCUUGGGCCCAUGUCUUGAAAUCUGAUAAAAGUCACAAAAUUUGGAAGCCAACACGAGUCCAACCAUACCAAUUUGCCAAAUUCCGACACCAAAUCGUCACUCAAAUCCCCUUCAAAAAUUCCACCUCAAAAAUACACAAACUAGGUAGGAAAUUCAAUGUGAAAACAAGAUUAUUGAAUAAAAAUGAUCACAAGUGAUUUAUCUCAAGAAACCCUUCGAAAUCCCUCUCAAAAAUCACCUUAGUCCGAGUUUGCAAAGUCCAAAUGAGAAAAAUCACGAAACCCUUCAGAUUUAACACUGCCAGUGCUUUCGUACCGAUGACCUGUCACACCUCCUUUUUCUACCCCGAAAGGGUAUAAGGGACUUUUACCAAUUAAAGUGACAAUAAUCGAAACGGGAUUAUUUAUUCAAAUUCAGAGUCGUCACUUGAGAUAAUUUAGAGUGUUCCAAGUCACCGGUUUAAAAUCACGAAUCGAGGAAAGAUUGACUCUGUUUUACAGUCCGCAAAAUACAAAAAUCUGGGUAAGGAAUUCUGUUAACCCGGAAGAAGGUGUUAGGCAUUCCCGGGUUCCGUAGUUUUAGCACGGUCGCUCAACUAUUAUUAUUGGCCUAAUUAUCUGAUUAAGUACAUAUUUUAUACAUAUUGUGCAUUUUUAUUCCUUUUUACCGCUUUUAACAUUUAUAGGAUUAUUUCUGGAACAAGUCACGACGUCGUACACUUGCCAUUUUGGUACAUGGUACAAACCGCGCUACAUGAAAUGCACCCGCGAUUUACGACAUGUUUAUUUUAAUAUUAUUCAAUAGGGUCACAUGAAAUGCACUGUCGAAUUGAGAUUUACGUAUCGCGACCAUGCCACGGGAACUGUACCCAUGACCACGAUGAACUCAUUUACGCACCUAAAAGUUGGCCUACCCACGUGAUGAUGGCCUAGCAUGCUGGUAGCGGUCCAAUUAACGAGAGUAAGAAUAAAGAACGACAAAAUUAUAUCAAACUCAAUCUCAAAACAUAUGGCAGGCCAAAAUUUACAUGUAACCCUUAGUCCUAUUCCUUUUUUAAGUUCAGCACAAAUUAAAAUUAAAAUUUCAGCACAUAUGGCAAGCCAAAAUUAAAAUUUCUGCGCAAGCUAGUUCGUAAGUAGUUUAUUUCACAUUCAGUUCUCAAUAUUUAAUUUCCAAAUUCGUGAGUUCCAAGUAAAGACAAAUGCAACACAAUUAAGAAACAACAAAACUUGCUCAAAUAGUGACAGACCAUUCAUUCAAUUUAGACAACUAGACUCAACAUGAUUACUAAGAUAAAGUUCAUUCAAUCAACAGUCAAACAUCAAAGUAUUUACUAAAUCAUGCAAAAAUAAGGCAUCACAUAUAUAUGAGAUCAAAGGAACAACAGAUAAGGAAAGGAGAUGGACCUUUAUUGCUGCAUAUUCCUCAACGUGUAUAACGACAGAAAAUCUUCAAUGCAACAAUUCAAUAACAAACUAAAGACCUGAACCUUGAACCGGAAACGGAGCUUCGAACGGAUCUCAUCUUCAAUCAAGCUGUUACAUUCGGGUAUAUGAGUUCCAUUUUUUUCAGUGGGUUUUGUAGUGACGGGAUGGUACCGAUGCAGCUUCUUCAGAACGGAUUGGAUCUCUCUUUACUUCUGGUUUCUGGAUUGAAAAUCGUCGUCGUCCCCUCUCACUCUGUUGCUGUUCGUUUUCAGUCGUCCUCCCCGUUCUACGUCCGUGUGUGCGUGUGUGUGAAGAAUACAGGUGCUCAAGGGUGUUGUUUUGGUGAGGGUAACGUUAGGUUGAAGCUUAGGGGUCGUUGGUUUUGUUUUUUGUCUAGGAGAAGAAGAAAAGGGUCGUUCGUUGUUGGUCUCGCUGCUUAGGUCUUAGGGUUCCGCCAAAAGGGUUGAAGAUGGAGGGGUGUCUGCGGCGCUGCUGGGAGCUUCUUCUUUUUCGUUAGGUUUUUUGUUAGGUCUUCCAAAAAUCAGGGAAAUGGCUGGUUAGGUCUCUUUAUGCUGAAGGUUUUUU
rnacentral:lncRNA from 1 species